UCCAGACUCCUACGGGAGGCAGCAGUGGGGAAUAUUGCACAAUGGGGGAAACCCUGAUGCAGCGACGCCGCGUGAGUGAAGAAGUAUUUCGGUAUGUAAAGCUCUAUCAGCAGGGAAGAAAAUGACGGUACCUGAUUAAGAAGCCCCGGCUAACUACGUGCCAGCAGCCGCGGUAAUACGUAGGGGGCAAGCGUUAUCCGGAUUUACUGGGUGUAAAGGGAGCGUAGACGGCAGCGCAAGUCUGAAGUGAAAUGCCGGGGCUUAACCCCGGGGCUGCAUUGGAAACUGGCAGGCUGGAGUGCCGGAGAGGCAGGCGGAAUUCCUAGUGUAGCGGUGAAAUGCGUAGAUAUUAGGAGGAACACCAGUGGCGAAGGCGGCCUGCUGGACGGUGACUGACGCUGAGGCUCGAAAGCGUGGGGAGCAAACAGGAUUAGAUACCCUGGUAUA
rnacentral:rRNA from 1 species